rnacentral:snRNA from 1 species
ACUGCUAACGUCGCAGGAUUUUU